CCGUCGCCAUGAGUUUCACUCUAGCAGUUACAGGGCAAAAUAUUGUCGGAUUCUGGUUAUGGGUUUUUGGUAUGACAAUCCGCAAGGUUAAACGAGUCGAAUGGUGGUCUUAGUUGCCGAUUUCAAUGGGAUUUUGUGCAGAUAUUUAGGAUUUCAUUCUCCGGUACAUCUCUUCAAAAGAACAGAUCCUUCAUGCAAUCGUUUGACAAGGUUUAGCAGCAGAAAAUAAAUGGAGAACAAAGAAGGACCAAGAAAGAAAAAGGAUGCAAGAAGAUCGUGAUUCUGUAUACUGCAAAAGACUUAAAAGCUGGGAAAACUAAUUGGAAAAAGGAUGCAAGAAGAUCGUGAUUCUGUAUACUGCAAAAGACUCAAAAGCUGGGAAAACUAAUUGGAUGAUGCAUCAGUACCAUCUUGGUACUGAGAAGGCUGAAAAGGAAGGCGUGUUCGUUGUGUCAAAAGUAUAACCCCACUUCCUUCUCGU